GCCAGGUUGGUCUCGAAUCCAUGGAAAUCCUUCAGCUCAGCUUUUGACUACUGGGAUACAAAGGUGUGCCAUCAAGAUUGUGCAAGCAGAUUACUGACAGCCAUAUAAUCACUGGAAUCAAGAAGCACCUGAGAUAGCCUGAGACAGGAUUUGGACUUGUGAUGGGAGGAUGAAGACACCAUGUACUUACUGCUCCUGGUUUCCCAGAUACUAAGCUGCACGAUACUGUCCUGACCUGACUACUAACAUGCUCUGCUCCACUUGUGUUCCCGGUGUACAGCUUUAUACUAAGAAUAUCAGGCACUUAACUCAUAUCAGUCCUCCAUUAAAAAAAGAAUGUCAAUAGA